rnacentral:rRNA from 1 species
UACAGAGGUCCCAGGCGUUGUUCGGAUUCAUUGGGCGUAAAGGGUGUGUAGGUGGCGCCGUAAGUCGGGUGUGAAAUUUCGGAGCUUAACUCCGAAACUGCAUUCGAUACUGCGGUGCUUGAGGACUGGAGAGGAGACUGGAAUUCAUGGUGUAGCAGUGAAAUGCGUAGAGAUCAUGAGGAAGACCAGUGGCGAAGGCGGGUCUCUGGACAGUUCCUGACGCUGAGGCACGAAGGCCAGGGGAGCAAACGGG